rnacentral:misc_RNA from 1 species
UCUCCGUAGGUGAACCUGCGGAGGGAUCAUUACCGAGUGAGGGGGCCCUUGCGCCCCCGACCUCCCAACCCUUUGUUUCAACCCACUCUGUUGCCUCGGGGGGCGACCCGGCCGUCCGACGUCCGACGCCCCCCAGGGGAUCAAUCAAACAACCUGCGUCUUUGCGUCGGAGUAUUGAAAGCAAAUCAUCCAAAACUUUCGACAACGGAUCUCUUGGUUCUGGCAUCGAUGAAGAACGCAGC